CAUUCAUUAAUCCAUAAACUUGGGCAAUCCUAAAAAACGGGCUGAAAUGGGCUGCGCGCCUUAGGGGCCAUCGAAGGGACAGGAACGUCCCGAGCGCGCAGCCCAGUUCAGUACAUUGUCCUUGUCACAGUCCCCUAGGGGAGUGUCCACCAGGUGGGGGACUUGCAUAAAAGCCAGGCAUGUAGCCCUUAUUAAACAGAUUCCUGCAGACCCUCAAUACGGUGCUGUGUCU